UCCAGUCAAGUUACGUUAGAAGUAAAAUUGGUGUGUUGUAAGGGCAACAUUUUCUUAAGGAACUGCUAUUCAGGCAUAUUUGUUGUUUCAAUUAGUCUGAUUUAGUGGCUCAGUCAGGGGGCUGCAGCCUGUCGCACUCAGACUGUAAUUUGAUUUCUAAAGCUGCCAUUCAGGUACUGAGGAAAUAAAAAUAUGCGGUAAACCACAUUGUGACAGCAGAUGUAUAGAUCCUGAUGUGCUUAAUGUGCAGCGUACCUGUCAGGAAGAUACAAGGGUUCACAGCAUGAUCGCCCCCAUUUCAUAUCCCAUCCGAGUUGCAUGUUUUGCUCUCGUGGCUUUGAUCGCCAGUCCCCUGGGAGGAGCACCGAGAGGUGGCAGAAUGGUGGUGCUUUUCCAGAACUGUUGCCCUGAAGGGAUGCUUAAACAAAAAAAGAAAAUAAAAUUCAUGUGUCUGAAAAAGUGCCAGAUUGACAGCUUUAGCGAGUAAAACACUUUACCUAUUUGAAGGCUACCCACGUUUUAUCUGGUAGAGCUGUCAGCAUAGUGCCAUUCCUCAGAACAAAAUGUAUUCUUUUCUUUUUAAACUGUCCUUGUAUCUCCAAAUUGCUCAGUCCUGCACCUGACAAAGAUUCAGACAGCACUAAUGGGAGUAAGAAGUUGGACUGCUGAAAACUAGGAAGGAAUCUUGGCAAAUUUGCCCUGGUUUUGGAGGUGCUUAAAAUUUGCAGGAGGCUACAAAUGAUUUAAAGAUCAAUUUUGUGCAGAAUGCUUCAAGGAAUAGUUCUGCUUUCAAACUAGGAAGUGCUGGGAACAGAAGCUUGUUUCUUUCCUUCGCAAAUCAGGACUGUAUCCCUAAUGUUGCCCUCUGGAAAGAGACCUCCAUGCUCUCCUCUGAGAGAACUACGUAACCAAGGUCUUGUCCGGGCUUUUGCAGCAUGACCUCCUGCCUUUUUUGGCAGGAAGGUGCCUUGAGAAGCACCAUGAUCAUGGUGCAGAGAUCAUGUGUCAGGAGAUCACUGGCAAAAGACAAGCCCUCCAGGACUCUAGGCAUCCUUCAGUGGCACCUUAGGCACUGGUAAUUGUGUCUAAACCAAGGUCUUGGAUCUGUUACUUUAUGGCAUUGUUAUCAAGAUGUUUACCUUAUUGGAUAGAGCCAAGUUAGGUCUGUGCACUUUUAUGCAUAGAUAAAUUUACGUCUAAAACUGCACAGUAAGGUCUUCAAACCGUCUGAUACAUGAACCUGAAGAUCUGUUCUGAAAGGUUGAAUUUUACAACUGUUUGAGCUUGUUCCUUUUUCAGAUGACAUAGUAAAAAUGAAGAAGUCCAAUAUCUCUUCCAUGAAAAAUCCCUUACAUUCGUAGGAAAUUCCUUCACAGCAUUUGCGAUGAGGUUUUGAGGGGGAUUCCAGCAGGAGGAAGCAGACCCAAAACUCUAACUUUAAAGGGCUUCCUGAGAGUGUAUAAACAAGAUAGUUGCUCAUUACAGCCAACGGGACUCCAUCCAUAUCCUGACCUAUUGUCCAAUGUCAGUAUUCUUUCCCAUUUCUGCAGAUCAUCGUCCCUGUCUUCACUACAUCACUAGUAAUGACAGGUGCCGCUGUUUUUAAACUGUUAAAUCAGUGGACUGAGGUAAUUUUCUUCAUAUUUGCUAUUCCAUCACAAGAUUCUAGAACUUUGCUGGGCCUCCAGUUUCUGCCAUUUAAAACAGGGCGAUACUUCAGCCACUAUUUUCAAACAGGGAAUCAUUAUGUGUCUAUAUUCAGGUUUAAACACCUCAAGUAGCAGUCUGAGAUACAAGCCAGCCAUGACUGACUGCCAGCAGCACAGGGCACUUCUGGGAGUUGCAGGUGUUGACAUAGCAGUCAAAUCUGUUUAGUCUCAAGUUUUAUGCAUGGGACUUGCUCGUCUAAUUCUGGCUGAUCCCUUUGUAUCUCGUCCAAGUAACAUGACUUUUUCCUUCCACUUCCAAGACUGCACAAAUGCAGCUGAUCAGUCCCCCUGACCAGUGGAUGGGUCUCAGAGCUGGAGGGAGACAGCAGUGUUGUGUAGCCACCAUGAACUGUGUCUUAGCCUCUUCUGUCACGUGAGUGCAGGGUGUAUGGGCUGUGUGUGGGGAGUGACAGUCAUGUGCCAGGAAAGAGGGGAAUGAAGGAUUCUGGCCGUACGACCCAACACAUCCACUGUAUCUAUCAGGUAACCAAAAAAAAAAAAGACUGGGCAAUGCUGCUCUUAGUAACUUUCUGCACUGGGCAGAGGUGAGGCUGAAUGAAUACCUGUAAAGUGUGCUUAGAUCACCAGGAGCAAUGGACUGUGUAUUUUCCAGGCAUCCUCUGUUGCUGGUCUAAGAUUGUUUCUUUGCUUUCCCAAGCCCAGAGGCAAAUGACUGUUUCUAUGUGCUAAGUAUCAGUUCUCUUUCUUUUGUUUUUAGCCUUUCUCCUCUCCACUUUUUUCCUUUCUGUUUUGAGUUGCUCUCAGACUGCUGCAGUCUCACUUCCCUGCCUGUGCUGGCACAGACACCAGGAGAAAACGGGAUAGUGUUUACAUUGCAUUGAAGCACUAGGACUUGGGAGAGGUGAGAUGUGGACCUGCCGCACCAUCUCUGGUGGCUCACUACACCUUCCCGUGGUUCUGCUUUCCUUCUAACUUCCUGCCAGGCUGACCUGCUAGACUAUUGCUUGAAGUCUUGCUUCAGUUGUGUGAUCCAACAGUGUCUUAAUACAAUACAACCCAACCUCAGGCAAGACCUUUAGGCACUCCCAUUAUAUGAAUGAGAACAAGAUUGUUGGUGUCAGUAAUUAACAUUCUUGUGGGGUUCUUGGAAAUGCUUUGGGAUAAAUAUGUCCUGGAAUCCUCGUCUGGCUUAUAUGGUUUUUAGACUGAAGGGAAGGCUGAUCCUGUUCACACGAGCGGGCAUGGACCAUCUGCCUCUUCUCCUACUGGGUGUGCAAAAAGGCUUUCAGUCCAAAGAGGAGUUCCAGUACCUCAGUGAGAAGUGGGAUGCUGGAAGUGUGAGGGCAUUGCCAGUGAGGAACAGGAAUGGAGACUCAAUUUUUAGUGUGUUUUCAGUAACUGUCUCACCUGAGAACAAAGACUAUGGACAACCACAAAAACAGAGACAAAAAUACCAAACUAAGUGUCACUGAUUGAUAACGCUGUGAGUGCCUGUGGCACAGAGUCAUCCCAUGACAGGCUUCCAGAGAUGAAAUCUCACUCUGGUUAAAUGAAUGGCAAAAAUCCCAUUGACUGCAAUAACACCAGGCUUUCCCCUUGGGGAUUACCUGGAUUCCUCUCCUCCUGAAUGCCCAGACAGCCACAUCCAGCAUCAUUAUGCACAUUCUGAUAAGAAAUAAAUUAUUCUUUUUUUUUUAAAGUGUGGAUUGGAUUUGGUAAACCCUGCAUUUUGGAUUCUAGGUUCUCUCUACCUACCUAUGAAAUCCCUGAAUAAACAAACAUUGGAUUAGACUUCAACAGCUCCCUCCACUCAGCAACUGAGGCUGUUAAAAGCAUUUCACACCAACUGGUCCGCUUGUAUUUCAGACUCUGUUGAACACUGGCUCAAGCAAAGGAGCUCCAUCUUCCUCUCAGACUUCCCAGGGAGCUAACCUUAAUUAUUGGAAGGUCUGCCUCCAUUUAUGACCCUCCCCAACUCCAGUGAGGAGUUGGAAUUGUUUAGCUGUUGACAUCAGGAAUGACAUAAAUAUAUGCUGGGGUUAGAGGGUGUCUGGCAAAUGGCCCACUAACCUAGAAUUUGCUCUGCAAAGUCAGGAGGAUGACUUUUAACCUCAGAGCAGUUUGCAAAACCACAUCUGUGACCAAUAAAUAUGAAGGGAAAAAAAAUAUCUAGUUUCUACUGAAUGAUGAAAGACAGUGUACCUCGCUGGGCACUAUGGUGCUAGGCUCAGUAUGGAGAGCUCUGCAGGAAUAUCAGACAGGUCAUCAUUGCCAGAAGUCGUCUAUGGGUACAGCUGAUGCCUCACACAAGGGAGGCAGCACAGCAGAUUAAACUGCAAGUGAGUAUCUCAUAGCUGUAAGUCUUAAACUUAAUAAGCCAGGUCUUUAUUUGUGCUGCAGCCUUCUUAUCCCCAAAUUGCCUUAACCAGCUGCUAAAGGAUGCCCAGUAACAGAAAAAUCUCUGGAUAAUAAUAGAUUGGCAUAACAGUUCAGUGUCACCUCACAUCCUGCUAAGCAAUAGAGAAAUCUUGCUCAGAAAAAUGGACACAACCAGCGUGCCACUGAACAGGCGAAUCCUAAUUUCAUCACCCUUCUUGUGGGCAACAGAUAACCCAGUGCAAUUUACAGCAGCUCUGAAGCACCUCCAAAUCUCAGCAGGAGUCAGAAAGGCUCAGUGCUAGCCUCAGGCCUGACGGGUUGCAGAAGAUCGGUGAAGUUGUUGUUCCAUAACCUUGCAGCUGCACCAGAAAGCAGUAGGCCGGACUGAAAUAUGAAGGACCUUAAGCAAACAACAACAUUUUAAUCACUGAAAUUAAGGCCCUCCUCUGGAUCCCUCUCUGAAGAAUCCUGUCUGUCUUUGAUGAUCAUACACAGGCUCCCAAAGGUGGUAAAUCUUGAAUUUAAAAUUGUACAAUGUCAAUGUGUGAAUGACGGCAUUAAAUCCUGACUGUAAGGCUGAGAGAUCUCCAAGAGGACAAAAACACCUUUUCUGCUCAACCGUGUAACAGCAGCUGAGGUAGACGAGGUAAAUAUAUUGUCUCCAACUCUUAAAGGUUGAGGGAAUCAUUUAUAUACACAUACUACAAGUUUGCAGCCUAAAGGUGGUUUUUCUUUUUUAAGAGUUUAAAAGUUUAGAAAUGCCAACGUUAAGGUGCCCUGUGCAACUGUAAUUUGUCCCUUUUGUGCACUUACAUUACGAUACACUAUUUAAUUGUAAUUAGAUCACACGCUGUUCUUUCGACAGGUUCCCAGCCUGACUCAUUGUACAGAAUAGACUGCACUCACUAAGUAAUAAUUUUAUUUUCUCCUUGCUGUUCACUAUGUGGCCCAUGCUGUAUUUACUGCACACUAUUCAAAUAUUGUUCUGAAGACAGAUUUAUUCAUUUCCUCCUGGGCUUUUCCAUGGUACUCAUCACUAUGGAAUCCAAGUGCUUCACAAACUCUAAUUCAUUUUCUCAGUGCUGUUGUGAGAGCUGAUAUUACCCCUAUUUUACAGGUGAGGAACUUAGGCAUACAGAAAGAACAGUAAAAAAUAUCUUUUAAUUUUAGGUGUCCAAUUAAAAAUACUCAUGCCUAAUUUUGUCAUAAAAUAUAACAUGGCAAAACAUCUAAUUUAGUCAAAGGUUGAAUAAAUUCUCAUUUACUGCAGAUAUAUCUGCAAGUGCUCUUCAAUUCUGCAAAUCAGACUUCAAAAUGUCAGAUCAGGCACGUAGGAAGUGAGGACCGCACAAUUAGCGCGUGGCUGUGAAGGCUCUGCUUUAAGCGUUGUGCUUUGCAUCCCGGCGGAGUCCUGAGGCUGAAGCCCUUUCCUGGAGCAGCAGGCACCCACCUUAGCCACAGUGCCAUGCUUGCUUUCCCCAUAGCUCCACACCCAGCCUCAGAGUCCCAAGUUUUCCUUCCUUGCCCUGCUCCUGCUCUCCUGUCCGAUUCCUUUUGCCCAGCAAAUUUUCCUUUAGCCCUUAGCCAGCUAACGUACUGGUCUUGUACUGGCCUUGACAGCCCUGGCCCUCGGGAUUGCAUGUCCUUCUGGCAAUUUUCUCCCAUUCCAGCCUGUUUUUAAGUCUUCUCCCAACAGGCUGUCUUCCAGACUCUUGCUUAUGAGCUUCACUUUAUCUUUCCCUCCAAGCAGACCCAGUUUCCCCUUCCAACUCCCAGUUCCUUUUCACCACCCCGGAGAACCUGUCUUUCUCCAGACCCUUUGUGCCUGCCAGCUUACUCGUCCAGAUCCAGUUCUCGUCCCCAUCAUGUGUUAUUCAAGGAGCUUCCUGCUCUGCGUUUCCCCGAGAGGACUGGAAGGACAGGUUUCCCGCUCACCCUUCCAACCUUCAGACUUGGCAUGGUCCAGAGCAGCUGGGAACUGGAACUGCAGGUCCAGCUCCAACUCCUACAGCCUUGGGCUGUGACGUGCUGGGUGAGCACGGAACUGCCGGAGAACUGCACUGCAAAGGGCUGACUCGAAGGUCCCUGACAGAAGGAACAAAAGAAGAAAGAACCUGAGCUCUGGAGGCAGCGUUGUCGCAUCUCCGCGCCAGUUCCCAGCAACACACAGCGCAAUGACUCCUUGCAUCGCAGUUACUCCUCCAUCUCGCCAGAUUUGCAAGGAUAAACCAGACUGGCG